rfam:Populus trichocarpa isolate Nisqually-1 chromosome 2, whole genome shotgun sequence.
GCCAAUGAUGACAAUUCUGAUUUUCACUGAAAGCAGGCCUAUGGAUCUGCCUAACUGUUGAAAUUCAUGAACUAGGACGGUCUGAGGC